rnacentral:rRNA from 1 species
UACGUAGGGGGCAAGCGUUGUCCGGAAUCAUUGGGCGUAAAGAGCGUGUAGGCGGCCCGGUAAGUCCGCUGUGAAAGUCCAGGGCUCAACCCUGGGAUGCCGGUGGAUACUGUCGGGCUCGAGUCCGGAAGAGGAGUGUGGAAUUCCGUGGUGUAGCGGUGAAAUGCGCAGAUAUCAGGAGGAACACCAAUGGCGAAGGCAGUACUCUGGGAGCGUGACUGACGCUGAGACGCGAAAGCGUGGGG